AACGAACGCUGGCGGCAUGCCUAACACAUGCAAGUCGAACGAGACCUUCGGGUCUAGUGGCGCACGGGUGCGUAACGCGUGGGAACCUGCCCUUAGGUUCGGAAUAACUCCCCGAAAGGGGUGCUAAUACCGGAUAAUGUCUUCGGACCAAAGAUUUAUCGCCUUUGGAUGGGCCCGCGUUGGAUUAGCUAGUUGGUAGCGUAAAAGCCUACCAAGGCGACGAUCCAUAGCUGGUCUGAGAGGAUGAUCAGCCACACUGGGACUGAGACACGGCCCAGACUCCUACGGGAGGCAACAGUGGGGAAUAUUGGACAAUGGGCGAAAGCCUGAUCCAGCAAUGCCGCGUGAGUGAUGAAGGCCUUAGGGUUGUAAAGCUCUUUUACCCGGGAUGAUAAUGACAGUACCGGGAGAAUAAGCGCCGGCUAACUCCGUG
rnacentral:rRNA from 1 species